rnacentral:tRNA from 3 species
GCGGAUGUAGUUCAAUGGUAGAACUUCAGCUUCCCAAGCUGAUAACGCGGGUUCGAUUCCCGUCAUCCGCUCCG